rnacentral:rRNA from 1 species
GAUGAACGCUGGCGGCGUGCCUAACACAUGCAAGUCGAACGGAAAGGCCCGGAUUUUGUUGGUCGCACGUGAGGCGAGCGGGUGAGUAUAACGCGAGGAACACCCCCUUGUAUGUCUGAUAACAUCUGGAGAAUGCGGCUCAAACAGCAUAGGAGAUACUGAACCAUGGUGGGGGUUGGUAAGAGUCGGCGGUGGGGGAUGGACUAGCGGGUUAUGAGCUACUUGGUGGGGUAGUGGAUUUCAAGGGCUAAGACGGGUAGGCGGCCUAGGAGGGUGGCCAGGCACAUUGGGCCUGAGAGACGCAGCAGACUCCUACGGGCGGCAGCAGUGGGGAGUAUUGCACAAUGGGCGGGAGCCUGAUGCAGCAACGCCGCGUGCGGGAUGACGGCUUUCGGGUUGUAAACCGCUUUCGCCUUUGACGAAGCGUGCUUGACGGUAAUGGGUCAAGAAGCACCGGCUAACUACGUG